rnacentral:tRNA from 1 species
GCGGUCGUGGCGGAAUGGUAGACGCGCAGCGUUGAGGUCGCUGUGGGGUAAUACCCGUGGAAGUUCGAGUCUUCUCGACCGCACCA